AAAUCAUUCGUUAUACAGGUAACUUCGUUGUAAAGGUCGCGCACAGCCCAGUUCACAAUAGAACCAAGAGAGAAUUAUUCCUUCCUGGUAGAGUUGGUC
rnacentral:lncRNA from 1 species